rnacentral:rRNA from 1 species
UACGGAGGUGGCAAGCGUUGUUCGGAAUUACUGGGCGUAAAGGGCUCGUAGGUGGCCAACUAAGUCAGACGUGAAAUCCCUCGGCUCAACUGAGGAACUGCACGGGAUACUGGAAGACUUGAGUUCGGGAGAGGGAAGCGGAAUUCCGGGUGUAGCGGUGAAAUGCGUAGAUAUCCGGAGGAACACCGGUGGCGAAGGCGGCUUCCUGGACCGAUUACUGACGCUGAGGCGCGAAAGCUAGGGGAGCAAACGGG